rnacentral:rRNA from 1 species
UACAGAGGUCUCAAGCGUUGUUCGGAUUCAUUGGGCGUAAAGGGUGCGUAGGCGGCGCGGUAAGUCGGGUGUGAAAUCUUGGAGCUUAACUCCGAAACUGCAUUCGAUACUGCCGUGCUUGAGGACUGGAGAGGAGACUGGAAUUUACGGUGUAGCGGUGAAAUGCGUAGAUAUCGUAAGGAAGACCAGGUGGCGAAGGCGGGUCUCUGGACAGUUCCGUGACGCUGAAGCACGAAGGCCAGGGGAGCAAACGGG